UGAACCUGCGGAAGGAUCAUUACUGUGAUUAUUUGUUCCACACUGCGUGAGCGCACACAACACACAAACAAGUAUACUAGUUCAGGAGUUUUUAUAUUAACACAAAACUUUCAACAACGGAUCUCUUGGUUCUCGCAUCGAUGAAGAGCGCAGCGAAAUGCGAUACCUAGUGUGAAUUGCAGCCAUCGUGAAUCAUCGAGUUCUUGAACGCACAUUGCGCCCGUCGGCAUUCCGGCGGGCAUGCCUGUCUGAGCGUCGUUUCCUUCUUGCAAGACGAGAGUUGCGCAGAGCUGGCCCGGCCACGGCCCCGCCGAAAAGAAACGAGGCCACGAGCGAACUAGAACAGGACGCUUGGGGUCUCCGAGCACAUACGAGCUCGACCUCAGAUCAGGUAGAAU
rnacentral:misc_RNA from 1 species